GCCUCUGCAGAGUGACUGUAAUUGAAGAUAGCACUGGAGCUGCUGGGAUUGAAUUUGGAAGUGAUUCCAGUAGAAUGGCCGGGCACGGCGAGCUGCUGAAAUAGCCUUCCUAUCUUCCUGCAAGCUGUGCCCUGGGAAAGCUGAACUCUUCCCACCUCCCUUCUGCAAGGAGCCAGGUGAAGGCUGCCUCAGGAACUCGGGCAGGCAGUAAAAAGCAGCUGUUUCAGCAGGGUGGAAGAAAGCAACUGUCUGCUUUGAUGAAUGUCCCAGAUCAAUGAUUUCAGAGAAGCUGGAUGUAAGAAGACUAUUAACAGCAUUUGCAGAUGAUCAUAAGUCAGGUGUUACAAACACAAGUAUGAAGAAAUAAUACAACAUAACCUAAAAGUCUUGGAAACAGGAAAUUGAAUGAAAUCACCACUGACAGGAUGCCUGGUUAGAAGUGAAACCUCAGCCCUGUGUGACCCUCGUGCUGCUUUGGAGAGGAGCAGUGACAGUUUGCUGAGUCUGGAAACACAUUUCUCUUAUCUCCAGGUGCUUUGUGAGGUGAUCAGAACUGUGAAGACUUCUAUUGCUGCCUUCCUCAGCAAACCAGCCCUUCAGAGCAGGAGCAAUUCCAUUCCAUGAGUCUGUACCUUCUCCAUGGUG